AAAGUCGUAACAAGGUUUCCGUAGGUGAACCUGCGGAAGGAUCAUUAUGAAUUUGAAGCGCUUUUCUGCGAGUCUUAGUUGACUUGUAUUGAAGCAGUUCUUUUUCUGUGAACUGUGUUAUUAUGUGAAGCUGAAGCUCUCCAAGUUUACUUGGAGCGGGGAAGUGAAGCAGAAUAGCAAACUUUUGUAUUCUUGUAAUCUUAUUCCAUCUUUUUUGAUUCUGAUUCAUUGGCCUUUGCGGCGAAUUGAAUGCGAAACAAGAGAAAAAAAAACCAAGACAACUUUCAGCAAUGGAUCUCUUGGCUCUU
rnacentral:misc_RNA from 1 species